UAGAUAGAGGCUUAAACAGUUGGGUUUUUAUGGUUUUCACCAGUUUCACUGAGGAACAGGUCAGUGAAGAUCCUCACACUCUCAUGCUAGAAGAGAAGGCUUGCAAACCUCAGCUUGGAAGAAACAUUUAUCCUGAAUACGUUCUCCGAAGGAAGCACUCAUUUGGCUUAGUCACUCCAAGUACUUUCUACUUGGAAUCCACUGAACCCUACAGGAUUUAAAGGGAAUUAGGAAAUGACAUUGAUAGACUGCCUUAGGUGGUGAAGAUGCUAAAGUCUGAGUUCUCCAGAAAGCAGAGCCUGGGCCAGAGUCUCCACCAGGAGACAAAGAUAUCACAUGCACAGUUUCACUCGGGCCAGACACACACAAUGCUAAAAACUUGUCUGUGGAGUUGCAGAGAUAACGCCAAUGUUGAAGCUUCGUAUUUACCAUCAACCUUGCCGUAUUAAGAUGGUCAUUAUAACCUUGUUACAUUAUACUCUCCAUUUCCCUUCCCCUAAUAUAAUU